rnacentral:rRNA from 1 species
UUCUACAGGCUUAACACAUGCAAGUCGAGGGGCAGCAUGGUCUUAGCUUGCUAAGGCCGAUGGCGACCGGCGCACGGGUGAGUAACGCGUAUCCAACCUGCCUUACACUCUUGGACAGCCUUCUGAAAGGGAGAUUAAUACAAGAUGUUAUCAUGAGUAAGCAUUUUCGCAUGAUUAAAGGUUUACCGGUGUAAGAUGGGGAUGCGUUCCAUUAGAUAGUAGGCGGGGUAACGGCCCACCUAGUCUUCGAUGGAUAGGGGUUCUGAGAGGAAGGUCCCCCACAUUGGAACUGAGACACGGUCCAAACUCCUACGGGAGGCAGCAGUGAGGAAUAUUGGUCAAUGGACGAGAGUCUGAACCAGCCAAGUAGCGUGAAGGAUGAAGGUUCUAUGGAUUGUAAACUUCUUUUAUACGGGAAUAAACGAAUCCACGCGUGGAUUUUUGUAUGUACCGUAUGAAUAAGGAUCGGCUAACUCCGUGCCAGCAGCCGCGGUAAUACGGAGGAUCCGAGCGUUAUCCGGAUUUAUUGGGUUUAAAGGGAGCGUAGAUGGGUUGUUAAGUCAGUUGUGAAAGUUUGCGGCUCAACCGUAAAAUUGCAAUUGAUACUGGCAGUCUUGAGUACAGUUGAGGUAGGCGGAAUUCGUGGUGUAGCGGUGAAAUGCUUAGAUAUCACGAAGAACUCCGAUUGCGAAGGCAGCUUACUAACCUGUAACUGACAUUGAUGCUCGAAAGUGUGGGUAUCAAACAGGAUUAGAUACCCUGGUAGUCCACACGGUAAACGAUGAAUACUCGCUGUAGGCGAUAUACAGUCUGCGGCCAAGCGAAAGCAUUAAGUAUUCCACCUGGGGAGUACGCCGGCAACGGUGAAACUCAAAGGAAUUGACGGGGGCCCGCACAAGCGGAGGAACAUGUGGUUUAAUUCGAUGAUACGCGAGGAACCUUACCCGGGCUUAAAUUGCAACCGAAUAUGGCGGAAACGCUAUAGCUAGCAAUAGCGGUUGUGAAGGUGCUGCAUGGUUGUCGUCAGCUCGUGCCGUGAGGUGUCGGCUUAAGUGCCAUAACGAGCGCAACCCUUGCCGAUAGUUACUAACAGGUCAUGCUGAGGACUCUGUCGGGACUGCCAUCGUAAGAUGUGAGGAAGGUGGGGAUGACGUCAAAUCAGCACGGCCCUUACGUCCGGGGCUACACACGUGUUACAAUGGGGGGUACAGAGGGCUGCUACCACGCAAGUGGAUGCCAAUCCCAAAAACCUCUCUCAGUUCGGAUUGAAGUCUGCAACCCGACUUCAUGAAGCUGGAUUCGCUAGUAAUCGCGCAUCAGCCACGGCGCGGUGAAUACGUUCCCGGGCCUUGUACACACCGCCCGUCAAGCCAUGGGAGCCGGGGGUACCUGAAGUGCGUAACCGCAAGGAGCGCCCUAGGGUAAAACUGGUGACUGGGGC